AUCCUGGCUCAGGAUGAACGCUAGCGGCAGGCUUAAUACAUGCAAGUCAGGGGCAGCAUGACUGUAGCAAUACAGUUGAUGGCGCCGGCAAACGGGUGCGGAACACGUACAGAACCUUCCUUCGAGCGGGGAAUAGCCCAGAGAAAUUUGGAUUAAUACCCCAUAGUAUAUUAGAGUGGCAUCACUUUGAUAUUAAAGAUUUAUCACUUGAAGAUGGCUGUGCGGCUGAUUAGGUAGUUGGCGGGGUAACGGCCCACCAAGCCUUCGAUCAGUAACUGGUGUGAGAGCACGACCAGUCACACGGGCACUGAGACACGGGCCCGACUCCUACGGGAGGCAGCAGUAAGGAAUAUUGGUCAAUGGACAAAAGUCUGAACCAGCCAUGCCGCGUGGAGGAUGAAGGUCCUCUGGAUUGUAAACUUCUUUUAUAUGGGACGAAAAAGGGUUUCUAACUCGUCUGACGGUACCAUAUGAAUAAGCACCGGCUAACUCCGUG
rnacentral:rRNA from 1 species